UGCGCUUGGGGUCGGUGGCGGAGAAGACGGUGUAGACGAGCACGAAGGUGCCGAUGAUCUCGGCGCCGAGCCCGGUGCCGCGUGAGUAGCCGGAGGCGAGCGAGUUGGCGCCGCCGCCGUACCUGUCGAAGUAGGCGCUCUGGAACGCCUUGACGAGGCCGACGCCGCAGAUGGCGCCCAGGCACUGCGCCACGAUGUAGAGCAGCGCGCGCACCAGGGAGACCUUGCGCGCCAGGAACAGGCCGAAGGUGACGGCCGGGUUGAUGUGGCCGCCGGAGAUCCCCGCCGUGCAGUAGACGAGGACGAAGAUCAUGCCGCCGAACGCCCACGCGAUGCCCAGCACGCCCACGCCGCCGCACGCGGCGUCGGCGCCCGACGCCGUCGCGUCCGUCUGGUGCUUGUACCCGAUCACG
rnacentral:lncRNA from 1 species